UGCAAUGCCGCGUGAGUGAAGAAGGCCUUCGGGUUGUAAAGCUCUUUUGUCAGGGAAGAAACACCGGCUCUAACACAGUUCGGGAAUGACGGUACCUGAAGAAUAAGCACCGGCUAACUACGUGCCAGCAGCCGCGGUAAUACGUAGGGUGCGAGCGUUAAUCGGAAUUACUGGGCGUAAAGCGUGCGCAGGCGGUUAUACAAGACAGGCGUGAAAUCCCCGGGCUUAACCUGGGAAUGGCGCCUGUGACUGUAUGGCUAGAGUGUGUCAGAGGGGGGUAGAAUUCCACGUGUAGCAGUGAAAUGCGUAGAUAUGUGGAGGAAUACCAAUGGCGAAGGCAGCCCCCUGGGAUAACACUGACGCUCAUGCACGAAAGCGUGGGGAGCAAACAGGAUUAGAUACCCUGGUAGUCCACGCCCUAAACGAUGCUGACUAGUUGUUCGGGAUUUACAUCCUGAGUAACGUAGCUAACGCGUGAAGUCAGCCGCCUGGGGAGUACGGUCGCAAGAUUAAAACUCAAAGGAAUUGACGGGGACCCGCACAAGCGGUGGAUGAUGUGGGAUUAUUUCGAUGCA
rnacentral:rRNA from 1 species